UGGGGGAUAUUGCACAAUGGGGGAAACCCUGAUGCAGCGACGCCGCGUGUAGGAAGACGGUCCUCUGGAUUGUAAACUACUGUCUUCGGGGACGAUAAUGACGGUACCCGAGGAGGAAGCUCCGGCUAACUACGUGCCAGCAGCCGCGGUAAUACGGAGGAUCCGAGCGUUAUCCGGAUUUAUUGGGUUUAAAGGGAGCGUAGGUGGAUAGUUAAGUCAGUUGUGAAAGUUUGCGGCUCAACCGUAAAAUUGCAUUUGAUACUGGCUAUCUUGAGUACAGUAGAGGUGGGCGGAAUUCGUGGUGUAGCGGUGAAAUGCGUAGAUAUCAGGAGGAACAUCGGUGGCGAAAGCGCCUUACUGGGCCGUAAUUGACGCUGAGGAACGAGAGCCGGGGGAGCAAAUG
rnacentral:rRNA from 1 species